rnacentral:rRNA from 1 species
UACAGAGGGUGCAAGCGUUGUUCGGAACUAUUGGGCGUAAAGCGCGUGUAGGCGGCUUUGCAAGUUGGGUGUGAAAUCCCUCGGCUCAACCGAGGAUGGGCGCCCAAAACUGCAUGGCUUGAGUCUCGGAGAGGAUGGCGGAAUUCCCCAAGUAGAGGUGAAAUUCGUAGAUAUGGGGAGGAACACCGGUGGCGAAGGCGGCCAUCUGGACGAAGACUGACGCUGAGACGCGAAAGCGUGGGGAGCAAACAGG